rnacentral:rRNA from 1 species
GACGAACGCUGGCGGCGUGCUUAACACAUGCAAGUCGAACGGAAAGGCCCAGCUUGCUGGGUGCUCGAGUGGCGAACGGGUGAGUAACACGUGGGUGAUCUGCCCCUAACUUCGGGAUAAGCUUGGGAAACUGGGUCUAAUACCGGAUAGGACAAUCGUUUAGUGUCGGUUGUGGAAAGUUUUUUCGGUUAGGGAUGAGCCCGCGGCCUAUCAGCUUGUUGGUGGGGUAAUGGCCUACCAAGGCGUCGACGGGUAGCCGGCCUGAGAGGGUAGACGGCCACAUUGGGACUGAGAUACGGCCCAGACUCCUACGGGAGGCAGCAGUGGGGAAUAUUGCACAAUGGGCGCAAGCCUGAUGCAGCGACGCCGCGUGGGGGAUGACGGCCUUCGGGUUGUAAACCUCUUUCGACAGGGACGAAGCUUUGGUGACGGUACCUGUAUAAGAAGCACCGGCUAACUACGUG